rnacentral:rRNA from 1 species
CAACCCCAUGUCAGGUGAGAGC